GGUUUAUCCAUUUUUAGCUGGUUGAGCCCAGAGCAGUCUACUGCUGUCCCCUUAGCUAUGAAAACACCUGAAGCAAGCUGGGCGAUGGUGGUCCCAUCCUCGAGGGGGAGAGGCAGAGGUCUCCCCCUUGUCCUCAGGGGUCAGCAGAGACCUUUGAGAAAUGCUGUGUGUCUGAGAAGGGACCCAAGAGUGGGACAGAGGGCAACGUGUUAGGGGCGGGUUUGGAGGGUUGGUUUGAUUUCUGCACAGUCAGUGCUGGUCUGAAUCCACCUCCAUCUGUUCUAGGGCUUUGGUCUGAUGCUGAAACUGGUGGGUCUCCCAUGGGGAACAGGGGCACCGAGCCUCACAGAGACCCAGGGAUGAGCAAGGUCGGUACAGAUGUGAGAGGGUUUCCUCAUGCUCCAAGGCCCCCCCAUAUGCCCUACCAUAUGGGGCAGGGUUUACCAGGCUUCCCUGGCUAUGGGCCACCUCCACCUCCUCCACAUGGGUGGACAUGGGGGCCUCAACCACAGCUCGUUCCUGCUACACAUGGGCUUCGGUCAUAUUCAGAAACCUGUGGCUCUCAAGGGGACAACAGUGGCACUC